rnacentral:rRNA from 1 species
AGAGGGUGCGAGCGUUAAUCGGAUUUACUGGGCGUAAAGCGUGCGUAGGCGGCUUCUUAAGUCGGAUGUGAAAUCCCUGAGCUUAACUUAGGAAUUGCAUUCGAUACUGGGAAGCUAGAGUAUGGGAGAGGAUGGUAGAAUUCCAGGUGUAGCGGUGAAAUGCGUAGAGAUCUGGAGGAAUACCGAUGGCGAAGGCAGCCAUCUGGCCUAAUACUGACGCUGAGGUACGAAAGCAUGGGGAGCAAACAGGAUUAGAUACCCUGGUAGUCCAUGCCGUAAACGAUGUCUACUAGCCGUUGGGGCCUUUGAGGCUUUAGUGGCGCAGCUAACGCGAUAAGUAGACCGCCUGGGGAGUACGGUCGCAAGACUA